rnacentral:rRNA from 1 species
GUCCACGCCGUAAACGAUGUCAACUAGCCGUUGGUCCUAUUUACAGGAUUAGUGGCGCAGCUAACGCAUUAAGUUGACCGCCUGGGGAGUACGGCCGCAAGGUUAAAACUCAAAUGAAUUGACGGGGGCCCGCACAAGCGGUGGAGCAUGUGGUUUAAUUCGAUGCAACGCGAAGAACCUUACCUACCCUUGACAUCCAGAGAAUCUGUUAGAGAUAGCGGAGUGCCUUCGGGAACUCUGAGACAGGUGCUGCAUGGCUGUCGU